CGGGACACGUGGUAUCCUGUCUGAAUAUGGGGGGACCAUCCUCCAAGGCUAAAUACUCCUGACUGACCGAUAGUGAACCAGUACCGUGAGGGAAAGGCGAAAAGAACCCCGGCGAGGGGAGUGAAAAAGAACCUGAAACCGUGUACGUACAAGCAGUGGGAGCACGCUUAGGCGUGUGACUGCGUACCUUUUGUAUAAUGGGUCAGCGACUUAUAUUCUGUAGCAAGGUUAACCGAAUAGGGGAGCCGAAGGGAAACCGAGUCUUAACUGGGCGUUAAGUUGCAGGGUAUAGACCCGAAACCCGGUGAUCUAGCCAUGGGCAGGUUGAAGGUUGGGUAACACUAACUGGAGGACCGAACCGACUAAUGUUGAAAAAUUAGCGGAUGACUUGUGGCUGGGGGUGAAAGGCCAAUCAAACCGGGAGAUAGCUGGUUCUCCCCGAAAGCUAUUUAGGUAGCGCCUCGUGAAUUCAUCUCCGGGGGUAGAGCACUGUUUCGGCAAGGGGGUCAUCCCGACUUACCAACCCGAUGCAAACUGCGAAUACCGGAGAAUGUUAUCACGGGAGACACACGGCGGGUGCUAACGUCCGUCGUGAAGAGGGAAACAACCCAGACCGCCAGCUAAGGUCCCAAAGUCAUGGUUAAGUGGGAAACGAUGUGGGAAGGCCCAGACAGCCAGGAUGUUGGCUUAGAAGCAGCCAUCAUUUAAAGAAAGCGUAAUAGCUCACUGGUCGAGUCGGCCUGCGCGGAAGAUGUAACGGGGCUAAACCAUGCACCGAAGCUGCGGCAGCGACGCUGAUGCGUUGUUGGGUAGGGGAGCGUUCUGUAAGCCUGUGAAGGUGUGCUGUGAGGCAUGCUGGAGGUAUCAGAAGUGCGAAUGCUGACAUAAGUAACGAUAAAGCGGGUGAAAAGCCCGCUCGCCGGAAGACCAAGGGUUCCUGUCCAACGUUAAUCGGGGCAGGGUGAGUCGACCCCUAAGGCGAGGCCGAAAGGCGUAGUCGAUGGGAAACAGGUUAAUAUUCCUGUACUUGGUGUUACUGCGAAGGGGGGACGGAGAAGGCUAUGUUGGCCGGGCGACGGUUGUCCCGGUUUAAGCGUGUAGGCUGGUUUUCCAGGCAAAUCCGGAAAAUCAAGGCUGAGGCGUGAUGACGAGGCACUACGGUGCUGAAGCAACAAAUGCCCUGCUUCCAGGAAAAGCCUCUAAGCAUCAGGUAACAUCAAAUCGUACCCCAAACCGACACAGGUGGUCAGGUAGAGAAUACCAAGGCGCUUGAGAGAACUCGGGUGAAGGAACUAGGCAAAAUGGUGCCGUAACUUCGGGAGAAGGCACGCUGAUAUGUAGGUGAAGUCCCUCGCGGAUGGAGCUGAAAUCAGUCGAAGAUACCAGCUGGCUGCAACUGUUUAUUAAAAACACAGCACUGUGCAAACACGAAAGUGGACGUAUACGGUGUGACGCCUGCCCGGUGCCGGAAGGUUAAUUGAUGGGGUCAGCGCAAGCGAAGCUCUUGAUCGAAGCCCCGGUAAACGGCGGCCGUAACUAUAACGGUCCUAAGGUAGCGAAAUUCCUUGUCGGGUAAGUUCCGACCUGCACGAAUGGCGUAAUGAUGGCCAGGCUGUCUCCACCCGAGACUCAGUGAAAUUGAACUCGCUGUGAAGAUGCAGUGUACCCGCGGCAAGACGGAAAGACCCCGUGAACCUUUACUAUAGCUUGACACUGAACAUUGAGCCUUGAUGUGUAGGAUAGGUGGGAGGCUUUGAAGUGUGG
rnacentral:rRNA from 1 species